GGACAGAUGGCGUAAUUGGUAGCCGCGCCGGGCUUAGAAUCCGGUUCCGCAAGGAGUAGGGGUUCGAGUCCCCUUCUGUCCA
rnacentral:tRNA from 1 species